UACGAAGGGGGCUAGCGUUGUUCGGAAUCACUGGGCGUAAAGGGCGCGUAGGCGGCCGAUCAAGUCGGGGGUGAAAGCCUGUGGCUCAACCACAGAAUGGCCUUCGAUACUGGUUGGCUCGAGACCGGAAGAGGCGAGUGGAAUUCCCGGUGUAGCGGUGAAAUGCGCAGAUAUCGGGAGGAACACCAAUGGCGAAGGCAGCUCGCUGGGACGGUACUGACGCUGAGACGCGAAAGCGUGGGGAGCAAACAGG
rnacentral:rRNA from 1 species